AAAGUACUCCCUCCGUCCCCAAAUUCUUGUCUUAGAUUUGUCUAGAUACGGAUGUAUCAAGUCACAUUUUAGUAUUAGAUACAUCCAUAUCUAGACAAAUCUAAGACAAGAAAUUUGGGACAGAGUGAGUAGUUG
rnacentral:pre_miRNA from 1 species